GCACCCGUAGCUCAGCUGGAUAGAGUACCUGGCUACGAACCAGGCGGUCGGAGGUUCGAAUCCUUCCGGGUGCGCCA
rnacentral:tRNA from 2 species